AUGGUGGAAGCCCGGCGGUGGAGGACGCCGGCCUGGAUCGCACAGCCCCGCUGCCAACUAGGACCAGGCAGCACAAACCACUGCCAGAUCGCAUGGAGGACGGGCCGAGAGCGGAGGAGCGCCUUUGAUGGCGGACAAAGGGACGAUCAUUUACAGGACGCGGGUUUGGUCACAGCGAGAGUGGGACAACGUGCAAGUGACACGUCAACAAAACACGGCGGGCCUCUUUUAUGGGCUCCUGACGUCCACAAAGACCGGGACAUGUGUUCCAGCUCCUCCAGCUCAAGUAGCGGAGACCCUGCCUGCAAAGUGGCCAUUGUUUCUCCCACGUCUGGAUCGGAGUGUCUGUUGGUCACUGCAUGGACAGUCCACGCGUAUUUGAGUAUAUAUGUAUAUAUUCUCAUGCACGGCAAUAUGUACAUUAGUCAUUAUGGUAAUUCAAUGCAUGCAGAUACGCUGUUAAUGGUGUAUUGUCUGUUCUUAGUGCUGGACUCCUGCUUCUUCUUGGCCUGUUUACCUUUGCAUUCUUGUUUUCUGGUCUUUGCCCACAGUGAUUUCACUGCAAAAAGCCAUUGUUUUUCAAGAAACCCGUCACUGUCGACCAUAAACUGGCUCGUCAAAAACAAUCACCUCCACAUUUCAUCUUUAGUCUCAAUGCUUGGCUCCUGUGAAUUGCUGACAGGCUAAUCUGGGGGAUUCUCGAAUCAUUAAAUGCCCAGCGCCCCUGGAGUUGACAUUACAUCUUGUUGUGUUUGUUCUGAGGAUUAAAUCCUCAGCUCAUCCCCACGGCCCUUCCAGACACAGAUCACAGGCUAUUACGCACUGCUUCUUCCGGAUGGGUGUUUCUGUAUCCGCCUGGAUCGGAGCAGUGCCACAAAAGGUCGACCGAUUUAAUUACAUGCGCACACAAUUGUCCCCUCGUCUCAAGGCCCAACACCUAAUCAUGAUCCUGGAUGCGAGUCUGCAUUUCCAC
rnacentral:lncRNA from 1 species